AAGUCGUAACAAGGUUUCCGUAGGUGAACCUGCGGAAGGAUCAUUAACACGUAUCCAACGUUAAACCCCCCGUGAACCUUCAGUGCGCUCGCACUUUCUUAGAAAAGGUAGCAAUCCCUGGUAAAUCAUUGCCGAACAGUUUUGAUUCAGGGACCUCUGGCUUGUGCGAUGACGGCGGAAGCUAAAGGUGUAAUCGAGCGCUAGGUUCAGUGGUUUGGUCUUCCCCUCAAACCACUUCAAUGAAUGUCAGUGUCAUUGAAGUGUGAUGGGGAAGUCGCUUAACGACGCUGUAGGCACACACGGGCCGGCGUCCAAAUCACCAGGCGCAAGCCUCCCUAAAACCACAUGUCAGCGUAGGCCCUUCUGUCGUGGUUGGGCGUAAAAACGAACAACUGUUAACAAUGGAUAUCUUGGUUCUC
rnacentral:misc_RNA from 1 species